UACGGAGGGGGCUAGCGUUGUUCGGAAUUACUGGGCGUAAAGCGCACGUAGGCGGCUUUGUAAGUUAGAGGUGAAAGCCCAGGGCUUAACUCUGGAAUUGCCUUUAAGACUGCAUCGCUAGAAUCGUGGAGAGGUGAGUGGAAUUCCGAGUGUAGAGGUGAAAUUCGUAGAUAUUCGGAAGAACACCAGUGGCGAAGGCGACUCACUGGACACGUAUUGACGCUGAGGUGCGAAAGCGUGGGGAGCAAACAGGG
rnacentral:rRNA from 1 species